GUUGCAAGGAAAAAGUCCUAAUUGCAAUUUAUAAGCUGGGAAUUGCGAGAAAAAGUCAGAAUUGUCGUUUAUAAGCUGGGAAUUGCGAGAAAAGAUCAAAAUUGUCGUUUAUAAACUGGGAAUUGCGAGAAAAGAGUCAAAAUUGUCGUUUAUAAACUAGGAAUUGCAAGAAAAAGUCAAAAUUGUCGUUUAUAAACUGGGAAUUGCGAGAAAAGAUCAAAAUUGUCGUUUAUAAACUGGGAAUUACAAGAAAAAGUCAAAAUUGAUGUUUAUAAACUGGGAAUUGCGAGAAAAGAGUCAAAAUUGAGGUUUAUAAACUGGGAAUUGCGAGAAAAGAUCAAAAUUGUCGUUUAUAAACUGGGAAUUGCGAGAAAAGAGUCAAAAUUGUCGUUUAUAAACUGGGAAUUGCGAGAAAAGAGUCAAAAUUGUUGUUUAUAAACUGGGAAUUGCGAGAAAAGAUCAAAAUUGUCGUUUAUAAACUGGGAACUGUGAGAAAAAAAUUAUUAUUGCGGUUUAUAAACACGCAGUUGCGAGAAAUGUCAUAAUCGCAAUUUAUAAACUGGGAAUUGCGAGAAGUAGUCAAAAUUGUUUAUAAACUCACAGUUGUGAGGAAAAACUCAUAAUUGCGGGAUAAAUUGCGAUUCCCUUGUUCUCUGUCAUUCUGCGGCGGAAACGAGCUUCCGGAUGUUCCGAUAGUAUUGUGUAUGAUGUCAUUUGUCAUAUUCCCGAGUGUUAGUGAGAUCAUGCUGUGUGUAACAGUCGAUAACAUCCAUCACACACUGUCAAGCCUCAUCCCUCACCCAGACACACUCCGUUUCAUCAUCCGCUUCCAGAACACGCUUACACACUCGCUUUGCUAACGCUAAUCUGACACACACUGGCAUAAUGAAACUCAAGGUAAAGCCGCAUGGCGUCUCUCUGGCGAUGAGUACUUGAGAAAUAUUGCUAGUCGGAUGAUGAAAUAUAUUGUUCGUUCAGAAAUGACAUUUCCUAACCGAAUGUGAAUGUUAGCCCAGCGUUAGAGCGCGUUCAGCUGGGCAGAGCGGCGGAGAACAGGCGGUGUCGUGUGUCACAGUUGGGCGGUCACGGACAAAGCCUGAAGAAAGAUGUUCUGUCAGAUGUAGGUCAUCGUUGAGGCGACACAUGGACGACUUCCCAUCAACACACACACACACACACACACUCACACACACACACACACACACACACACACACACACACACACAGCCUCUGGCUUUGGGGAUUUUGCUGUUUGACUGUCACUCAUAUGAACAAUAUUCCAUCAUUCUCUUGAAGUUGUUGUAUAAUCAGUGUUUCUCUGUUGUAUCGCGGCACUGCUAAAGUUCAACCGAAUCUUUGUCUUGUUUUCCGGCAAAACAUUCUUUAAUCGAGACAUUUACUGGAGAAUGAAGUGUUCUGAAAAAAAAAAUUUGCUUUGAAUUAAAUAGAUUUUUUCGGACCCCAUUGUUGUUCAUUUUGAUACAUUUCUCUGAAAACCGGAUUUAUUCAGUAAUUUUGCUUCUCCGGUAAAUGAAUCUUUAUUUAAGAAUUUUACACCUCAUCUUUUCUUAAUUUUAUAAGACUUUUUAAUCUCAUAGUUAUGACUCAAUGUUUGCUAUUUGUGCUGGAAGCGAGACGAAGCCCUGAGGGAGAACAGGAUCUCUGCAGUGCCUCUGAUGUGAACGAUAGUGAAUUACAGGCUUGUGUUUGUGAAUGCGUUUUUUGUAAACAGAUUUGUAUUGAUGAUGUAAUAAACUGACUUUGAAUGUG